rnacentral:rRNA from 1 species
AUUGAACGCUGGCGGCAUGCCUUACACAUGCAAGUCGAACGGCAGCACGGGAGCAAUCCUGGUGGCGAGUGGCGAACGGGUGAGUAAUAUAUCGGAACGUGCCCAGUCGUGGGGGAGAACGUAGCGAAAGCUACGCUAAUACCGCAUACGAUCUACGGAUGAAAGCGGGGGAUCGCAAGACCUCGCGCGAUAGGAGCGGCCGAGAUCAGAUUAGGUAGUUGGUGAGGUAAAGGCUCACCAAGCCGACGAUCUGUAGCUGGUCUGAGAGGACGACCAGCCACACUGGGACUGAGACACGGCCCAGACUCCUACGGGAGGCAGCAGUGGGGAAUUUUGGACAAUGGGCGCAAGCCUGAUCCAGCAAUGCCGCGUGCAGGAUGAAGGCCUUCGGGUUGUAAACUGCUUUUGUACGGAACGAAACGGCGAGCUCUAAUACAGUUUGCUAAUGACGGUACCGUAAGAAUAAGCACCGGCUAACUACGUGCCAGCAGCCGCGGUAA